GUCGGUAUCGAUUAGGGGUUAAAUCACUUCGUUGUGGUGCUCCAUAUCCGAAGAGCCGCUGGUUCGAUUCCAGCUACCGACA